rnacentral:rRNA from 1 species
AGCUCCAAUAGCGUAUAUUAAAGUUGUUGCAGUUAAAAAGCUCGUAGUUGGAUUUCGGGGCGGCCCGACUGGUCCGCCGCGAGGUGAGCACUGGUCGGCCGCCCUUCCUCUCGGAAGCCCCGACUGCUCUUCGUUGCAGUGGUCGGGGAGUUCGGGACGUUUACUUUGAAAAAAUUAGAGUGUUCAAGGCAGGCCUUCGCCUGAAUACAUUAGCAUGGAAUAAUGGAAGAGGACUUUGGUCCCGUUUUGUUGGUUUCUUGGACCGAAGUAAUGAUUAAGAGGGACAGUUGGGGGCAUUCGUAUUUAAUUGUCAGAGGUGAAAUUCUCGGAUUUAUGAAAGACGAACGACUGCGAAAGCAUUUGCCAAGGAUGUUUUCAUUAAUCAAGAACGAAAGUACGC